rnacentral:rRNA from 1 species
AUCAAGUGCCUUAAGGGUGUUCGGUGGAUGCCUUGGCGCUGAGAGGCGAUGAAGGACGUGCUACGCUGCGAUAAGCCGUGGGGAGCUGCGAAGAAACUUUGAUCCACGGAUUUCCGAAUGGGGAAACCCGG